rnacentral:misc_RNA from 1 species
AUGAGAACUAGGGGUGAUAUCUUAGGAUAUCACUCUGAACACUCCACCCUUUGUUUACCUUACUUUUGUUGCUUUAGCAGGCCCGCUUACAGGCCGCCGGCACCUGCUGGCCAGUGCCUGCUAAAGACCCUAAAACUCUUGUUAAUAAUAUUGUCUGAGUACUAUAUAAUAGUUA